CCGGCGCACGGGUGAGUAACACGUAUGGAACCUGCCCUAUGCAGGGGGAUAAGCGGAAGAAAUUCCGUCUAAUACCGCAUAACACCAUUUGGAGACAUCUCCUAGGGGGUCAAAGGAGGCGACUCCGGCAUAGGAUGGCCAUGCGUCGCAUUAGCUAGCCGGCGGGGUAACGGCCCACCGAGGCGACGAUGCGUAGGGGUUCUGAGAGGAAGGUCCCCCACACUGGUACUGAGACACGGACCAGACUCCUACGGGAGGCAGCAG
rnacentral:rRNA from 1 species